rnacentral:misc_RNA from 1 species
GUACACACCGCCCGUCAAGCCACGAAAGGGAGGGAUAUCCGARGUCGCCGCGCCAACCGYGAGGGGGCAAGCGUCCGACGAUAGACUUCCUGAUUGGGACUAAGUCGUAACAAGGUWWCCGUAGGUGAACCUGCAGAAGGAUCACUGU